GAAACACAAACACCACCAGAUAAACUGAGUCUCAGGCAUAAGACAUGGUGCUUGGGGAACUUUCAAUAUUGGCAACUCUUCUUAUUCCAUAUGGGUCUUAUUCUUACCUAUGAAGGGAGAAAAAAUGAAUGAAAAAGGAAAAGAUAAACAUCUUUCUUUCACUGAUUCCUUGCAUUUCUCUUUUCUCUGUUCAUCAUCAGCCUUCACCACAGAGGAAUUUACUGUACAUUCAGAAACAAGAAACUGUUCCAGCACAGCAUCACCUUCGUUCAAUGAUUUCCCAGGCAAUCCCUUGACACUUUUGGAGGUAGCAAGCCCUGGAGGUGUCCCAGAGCAAGGGAAGAAAAAGAGAGCCUGAAACAUGAGGAGAAUAGAGGCUGGGGAGAAAGAGAGUAGCUGUCAAAUGAAUAAACAACAUGAAUCCGAAGUUAUGUUAUGGAGCUACAGGAAAUCUGCACAUUCUUGCUGAACUCUGGCACAUAAAAAGAUCUGGGGUGAUACAAUUUUCACACAUUUCCUACAAUCUACAACACCACAAAACUGCUCACGAGGAAAAGAAGAGGAAGAACAGCCACCAAUGGAUGGUGAAGCAACAGCUCCCCCUGUGGCCGGAAUCGUGAAGCUGGAAAGAUGUUAAAAAAUGCCUCUGUAUCUGUCUAAAAACUGAAUGUUGUUUGUCUAUUUGCAUUGAAUGUUUGCCAUAUAUGUGUUCAUUGUAAUCUGCCCUGAGUCCCCUUCGGGGUGAGAAGGGCGGAAUAUAAAUACUGUAAAUAAAUAAAUAAAUAAAUAUUGAAGUGUA